AGUAACACGUGGAUAACCUACCUAUAAGACUGGGAUAACUUCGGGAAACCAGAGCUAAUACCGGAUAAUAUUUUGAACCGCAUGGUUCAAAAGUGAAAGACGGUCUUGCUGUCACUUAUAGAUGGAUCCGCGCUGCAUUAGCUAGUUGGUAAGGUAACGGCUUACCAAGGCAACGAUGCAUAGCCGACCUGAGAGGGUGAUCGGCCACACUGGAACAGAGACACGGUCCAG
rnacentral:rRNA from 1 species